rnacentral:misc_RNA from 1 species
AACGCACAUUGCGCCCCUUGGUAUUCCGAGGGGCAUGCCUGUUCGAGCGUCAUUAUCACCCCUCAAGCCCCGUGCUUGGUAUUGGAUGGCCGGUCGAGCGAUCGACCCCUCCGAAAGACAAUGACGGCGGCCUGUGGUUCCCCCGGUACACUGAGCUUUUCAUCGAGCACGUACCGGACGAGGGCACCCAGGACCCGGUCCCCUCCUUUCACUAGGAAACUUCUAUAAGGUUGACCUCGGAUCAGGUAGGAAUACGCGCUGAACUUAA